rnacentral:tRNA from 1 species
GGUAGCAUGGCUGAGUAGUCUAAGGUGCCGGAUUAAGGCUCCGGUCUCUUUGGGGCUGUGGGUUUGAAUUCUAUCACUGCCA